GCCAGGCAUGGUGGCACAUGCCUGUAAUCCCAGCUACUCGGGAGGCUGAGGCAGGAGACUUGCUUGAACCCAGGAGGCGGAGGUUGCAGUGAGCCGAGAUCGCACCACUGCACUCCAGCCUGGGCAACAGAGCGAGACUCUGCCUCAA
rnacentral:SRP_RNA from 1 species